GUCGGGAGGGCGACGAAUACAACACCCGCAAGGGGAAUAAGUCCGCGGUAUCUUUUGGGCCGUUUCGAGCCUCCCGGCACCACAUU
rfam:Escherichia phage TL-2011c, complete genome.